rnacentral:rRNA from 1 species
AUGGCGAGUGGCGGACGGGUGAGUAACGCGUAGGAAUCUACCUUUCGGUGGGGGAUAGCCCGGAGAAAUUCGGAUUAAUACCGCAUACGCCCUACGGGGGAAACGAGGCCUCUCCUUGGAAGCUUUGGUCGAAAGAUGAGCCUGCGUUAGAUUAGCUAGUUGGCGGGGUAAUGGCCCACCAAGGCGACGAUCUAUAGCUGGUCUGAGAGGAUGAUCAGCCACACUGGGACUGAGACACGGCCCAGACUCC